AGUGAACGCUGGCGGUAUGCCUAACACAUGCAAGUCGAACGGCAGCACAGUAAGAGCUUGCUCUUGCGGGUGGCGAGUGGCGGACGGGUGAGGAAUACAUCGGAAUCUACUUUUUCGUGGGGGAUAACGUAGGGAAACUUACGCUAAUACCGCAUACGACCUACGGGUGAAGGCAGGGGAUCUUCGGACCUUGCGCGAUUGAAUGAGCCGAUGUCGGAUUAGCUAGUUGGCGGGGUAAAGGCCCACCAAGGCGACGAUCCGUAGCUGGUCUGAGAGGAUGAUCAGCCACACUGGAACUGAGACACGGUCCAGACUCCUACGGGAGGCAGCAGUGGGGAAUAUUGGACAAUGGGCGCAAGCCUGAUCCAGCCAUACCGCGUGGGUGAAGAAGGCCUUCGGGUUGUAAAGCCCUUUUGUUGGGAAAGAAAAGCAGCAGGUUAAUACCCCGCUGUUCUGACGGUACCCAAAGAAUAAGCACCGGCUAACUUCGUG
rnacentral:rRNA from 1 species